rnacentral:lncRNA from 1 species
AUGAUGAAUGAUGCUGCAAUGAACAUUUGUGUACAAGUUUGCAUGUGGACAUGUGUUUUCAUUUCUCUCUCUUUUUUUUUUUUUUUUUUGAGGAAGAUUAGCCCUGAGCUAACUACUGCCAAUCCUCCUCUCCCUGCUGAGGAAGACCGGCCCCAAGCCAACAUCCUCCGUGCCCAUCUUCCUCCACUCCAUACAUGGGAUGCCCACCACAGCAUGACACCAAGCGGUGCCAUGUCUGCACCCGGGAUCCAAACUGGUGAACCCCAGGCCGCCGAGAAGCGGAACGUGAGAAUGCAACCGCUGCGCCACUGGGCCGGCCCCUCACUUCUCUUGAUUGACGACCAAGUAUACUGCCCAAAGCUCUGUCUAGUCUUCAAAAGCUGCCGCAAGGGGGGACGUAGUGCAGGAGCCAUACACUUUCAGCUCACACGAGUGGAUUGAGCCAACCCAUCCGUGAACUUGGCUUGGAUUUUCUCCUUCUCCAUCAGGCAGGUAGGACACAGGUAGGAGCUGAGGACGAGAGUCAGAAUCAGGGAGGUAGAUAACAGGGAGGUCUGGGCCACAGGUUGGUGUGACCUAAUUGAACCCUCUGCACCUGCUCAGGACUGAUCCCACAUGUGCCAUUUCCACUGUACUAUGAAUUUCUGCUCACUUGCCCAAUCUUAUGAUUUGAGGGGUCUAACAACAGCCAGCUCCUGAUUGGUGGGUAUCCUAUGGUAAGGUACUCAGUCUUUGCUAGAGCCCGGUAGCAUGCCAGGAACGGCUUUUUCAAAUAGUGAAGAGUUCUCUGCUGCAGAUGGCAUGGCCUUUGUCCAGAACCCUAGGGGUCUGUGUUGCAACUCUCCUAUUGAGGCUUGCCAGAAAUUCCACACAUUGUUGUUUUCUACCAUGGGUACUUCUAUGCCAUGGGAUCUCAUGUUAUACUACUCAAGUGGCAGGACCACUUGUACCGUGCAAACUCUGCUGCAAAGCCCUCUUUUUCUCUGGGCCUAAUUAAAAACCAAUAGCUCUCUGAGUUAGAAACAGCAUCCCCAAUUACGUAUGAGUUGUCUCUAACACCCCAAGAGGCGUACCUUGUGCUAUAUCUUCUUAGUGAUAUGAAGUGCAAGAUGCAGCGUCGUCUCCUUCAUGUGGAUAGGAUGUCUUGCUAUGCCCUAGACC